CCUACGGGAGGCUGCAGUGGGGGAUAUUGCACAAUGGGGGGAACCCUGAUGCAGCGAAGCCGCGUGGGUGAAGAAGCGCCUCUGCGUGGAAAGCCCUGUCUGCAGGGAAGAAAAUGACGGUACCUGAAGAAGAAGCCCCGGCUAACUACGUGCCAGCAGCCGCGAUAAUACGUCGGGGGCAAGCGUUAUCCGGAUUUAUUGGGUGUAAAGGGGGCGCAGUCGGGGAUGCAAGCCAGGAGUGAAAGCCCGGGGCCCAACCCCGGGACUGCGCUUGACACUGCGGGGCUGGAGUGCAGGAGGGGCAGGCGGAAUGCCUGGUGUAGCGGUGAAAUGCGUAGAUAUCAGGAAGAACACCGGUGGCGAAGGCAGCCUGCUGGACUGCAACUGACGUUGAGGCCCGAAAGCGUGGGGAGCAAACAGGAUUAGAUACCCGGGUAGUC
rnacentral:rRNA from 1 species